rnacentral:rRNA from 1 species
CACGUAGUUAGCCGUGGCUUGCUCCUUAGCUACCGUCAUUCUUCUUCACUAAGAACAGAAGUUUACAAUCCGAAAACCGUCUUCCUUCACGCGGCGUUGCUGCAUCAGGGUUUCCCCCAUUGUGCAAUAUUCCCCACUGCUGCCUCCCGUAGGAGUCUGGGCCGUGUCUCAGUCCCAAUGUGGCCGUUCAACCUCUCAGUCCGGCUAUGGAUCGUUGACUUGGUAGGCCGUUACCCCACCAACUAUCUAAUCCAACGCGAGCCCAUCCUUCGGCACCUCAGUUUUGGUAUUUCUAUCAUGCGGUAAAAAUACGUUAUGCGGUAUUACUGUCCGUUUCCAGACACUAUCCCCCUCCGAAGGGCAGGUUGCUCACGCGUUACUCACCCGUCCGCCACUCAGUCAUAUCAUUCUUCAUUCCGAAGAAAUCUGAAUUCAAGCUUCGUUCGACUUGCAUGUGUUAGGCACGCCGCCAGCGUUCGUCCUGAGCCAGGACAACACU